GUUUUUGCUUCCACCAGUACCCGCCUCUAUAAAUCAGAAGCGAGAGCCAACGCCGCCACCACCCCGCCCGCUCCCAACUCGCCGAAUCCGCAGCCGCCGCAAGCAGAGAGGACAGGAGCUCAAGAGCGAGCACCACCCCCGCCGCCGCGAUGAGGGCGAAGUGGAAGAAGAAGAGAAUGAGGAGGCUCAAGAGGAAGCGCCGAAAGAUGAGGCAGAGAUCCAAGUAGGCGCCCUGGAGGAGGAAGGGAAUCGUUGGCUGCAUUGCGGUGUAGGCUUUGUUGGGAUAGUCACCCUGAUGUGCUUCGGUGCAGAUGCAGGAGAUAUUCGGGUUCUAGUUUAAUUUUCAGCUCAUCAAGACUCUGGUCAUGUUCUAAGGCUGGGUUUUAUGUAAUGUGAGGAUAAUCAUAUGUUGCUUUAUGACUGAUGUUUAUGCAGUUAAAUGUGAUUUCGGGCACUAAGAAAUUUGCUUUCUGCCUAUCUGUUGCUCC